UUCCCAUGAUGCUCUUCCAUCCUCUCCUGCUGGGGAGCUAUUCAAACUCCAUCUUUGGAUGCAAGCAGCACCGAGCCUCAAGCUUAUGCAGGUAGUCCUUCCAUGAAACCAAUCCCAAACGUUAGCAAGAGAACAGUGGAUAAACCAAAUACAGUAUGUACCCACAGGAGCAUAAACUUCUACCAGAAAACAAAUUGUAAAUACGAUAAACAUGAAUGAUGCAAACUGCAACACUCUUUUGACGAUAGUGAAGCCAAGCAGACACUGAAAAAGGACCACUGUGCAGUUCAACAUAUAGGCGGUAACGAGACUAGGCAGACUGUCAGAGAUGGCACGUAGAGAUGGCUGAGACCUGGCAGCAGGGAUGAAGGGGGACUGAUUCCUGAAUGGGUGCAGAGGUCCUGUGAGUUACGCCGAGAAAGGUUGUUGUGGACAGUAGUGCAAAGUCCAUGGCAUUGGGAAGGCCUGCUCUCCCCCUGAGAUUCCUCCGGCCAAAGCAUUCCAACGAGAAGUAUUAUGCAUCUAAGACCAUGAAAGAGGCGAACCACUCCAGAGGAUGGAGCGUGAACUCAGGAGCACCCUGUGGGAAGCGUAGGGAAGCUGAAACGAUGUCCUGCCAUUUCAGACGAUGGAGGCCUGUGGCUGGACGUGAGAAUGGGCAGGAGCACUCAGGAGGCUGUCUCGUGGCAGCAGAGCCUGCAUUCUCUCGUGUUGGCCAUUUCUCAGAUGGGGACUAUGCCCCGGAGAGGUUCCCUUUAGCAAGAGAGGCAGAGGCUCCCUUUCUCAGGUCUUUCAAGGUGCUCUCUGCCUUCCUUCAACACGUUUACCCGGGAGGAUGGGCCGGGAGAAGCUCCGUCCGUGCUUCAUGCCAGCCCCACCCCUUGACUCCCAGCCCAUGUCCAGUCAGGUGAGGCGCCCAGAGUACCUCCUGAGCAGCACCACCGCCCUGCUGACAGUGAGUGUGUGUCCCCCUAGCAACGCACGACGAUGUUGUGGAGGCCGGUGGGAGUGAGAAGACCGAGGAGGAGGCCCAGGCUGUGACCAAGGAGGAGGAGGCGGGCCCGGCCCCUGAGAAGGGGGCAGAGGAGGCCGCAGCCGUUGGCGAGGCAGAGGAGGAGGCGGGCCCAGGCAGUGACAAUGACAAGACGUCCCCAGCCAGGGCUGGGGCUGAGCAGGAAGAUGAAUCUGCCCCCAAGGUGGACGGGACGGACGGUGAAAGCUCGUGGAGCACUGUGAGUCUGUGUGGCAGCGUCCACGAUGAAGAUGACACAGACUCGGUGGUGGAGAGCAGCAACAGCCACCAGGACGAGGAGGCUGCAGGUAGGGAAGAGCACGCAGCUGGGAUCCAGUGGGAGAGGGUUCCUGGGAGCACCUGGGUUGCACCUGCUGCCGGGCGAGGGAGGAAGGGGGAUGGGACUUGGCGGGUGGGUGGGUGGCCUAAUGAGUGGAAGCCUGGUGUGGCGUUUUCCCCUCUGAAAUUGAUCACACGAAGAAGACUUGGGUGCCUGGUCUUUGUUGUGCUGUGUGUGUCUUCCUGUCUCCUUCCUUGGAGAGGGAAAAUGGAUUUUCCCUCCCAAGGCUGCUCCUUCCAGCUCUUGGCUCUGGCCACUGUGCCAGCUUGCUUUGUGACUCGCACCCUGAGGGUCCUGUGCACAAGAGCUGUUGACUUAGUUUCCUUUAGUGACCUUGAUGGACCUGACGGGGUGGGACGCCAACCUCUCCUAGGCCCCCGACCCUGGAGACGAAGUUGGUCUAGUGAGUGUCAGGUGGUGGGUGAGAAGGCAGCUCUCUCCCUCUGCACGUGCAGGAUUUCUGGGCUCCCUGACCUGAUGUGUCCUCACGGUGCGUCCUCAGGGAAGGGGCGUCCCGAGAGUUGGAUGCCCAGAACAGGGAACUGAGGCACAGAGAUUACUAGGUCCCCUUCCCUGGCAUGUGUUUCUUCAACAGGGGAUGUGCAGAGUUCGCUAGUGUCCUAGACGUUAAGGGUCCAGUGUUGGAUCCCUGCUGUGGUGCAGAGUCUAGCCGUGGCCUGGGAAGUUCUGCAUGCCCUCCCUGGGAGUGGCGAAAAUCAGUCAGUCAAUCAUUGGGAUUGACAUCAGACCAUUCUGCAUGGUCAUCAUCUAGGUUGUCUCAGCUACCAAGAGGCGUUUUCCCACAACCCUGUGUGGGGAGGUAGCGGUUUGAAGUGCAGCCCAAAGAGCAAGGUCUUUCUAAGUAGAACUUGGAUGCUGGAGGCUCUGCUGGGCAGCUGGGGAUUAUGGGCAUUGAGGGCUUGGCCUGGGAGUCAACGAUUAGUCAUGUCCCUGUGGUCUUCUGCAGUCAGUCUAUCACUCGUUCUCUCUGUUGUCAUGUAUUUUCCAGAAUCUUGCUUUGGGAGGAAAGGAUCUUGCUUCAGGAGCCUGAGGAUAAGUUUGUCCUCUGCGAGCUUGGCUAGACUAAUCCCCUGGUGGCCGCACAACAGGGUGCACCCAGCCACUGAGCCAGAUGAAGGUACUGUGGAACCUGACUCAGUACACUCAGGCAUGAACGAUGAUUCUGGUUCAUUCAGUGCUCCAGAUUUCAGAACAAACUCUACAGGUGCUAAGCCGUAUCUCUCUUCUAGUGCAUGGUGCAAAUUCAAAUGAACUAACUCGGAGUUCCGGUCGUGGCGCAGUGGUUAAGGACUCCGACUAGGAACCAUGAGGUUGCGAGUUGGAUCUCUGGCCUUGCUCAGUGGGUUAAGGAUCCGGGGUUGCCGUGAGCUGUGGUGUUGGCCACAGAUGCGGUUCGAAUCCCGAGUUGCAGUGGCUGUGGCGUAGGCCAGUGGCUACAACUCUGAUUAGACCCCUCUCCUGGGAGCCUGCGCAUGCCAAGGGAAGCGGGCCUAGAAAAGGCAAAAUGACCAAAACCCAACCAACC
ensembl:lncRNA